CUUUGAACUUGCAAUCUUCCUGCCUCAGCCUCCUGAGCUGCUGGGAUUACAGGCAUGCACCACUGCGCCUGGCUUAUUUGUUUAUUUUUAUUUGGUGCUGAAGAUCAAACCCAGUACCUCACACAUGUUAGGCAAGCACUCUACCACUGAGCCACAAUUGCAGCCCCAAUAAAAAUUUUUAAAAUACUUUAGCUGAAUUCUUACCAGCUUGAUGGUGGUAGGAAGAGAGUCAUCCCCAAAUAAGCAAAUGCACCUGUACCAUGUUUUCCUUGGA
rnacentral:lncRNA from 1 species